rnacentral:rRNA from 1 species
GAGUUUGAUCGUGGCUCAGGAUGAACGCUAGCGGCAGGCUUAACACAUGCAAGUCGAGGGGUAUAGGUUUUCGGACCUAGAGACCGGCGCACGGGUGCGUAACGCGUAUGCAAUCUGCCUUUUACAGAGGGAUAGCCCAGAGAAAUUUGGAUUAAUACCUCAUAGUAUUAUUGAAUGGCAUCAUUUAAUAAUUAAAGUUCCAACGGUAAAAGAUGAGCAUGCGUCCCAUUAGCUAGAUGGUAAGGUAACGGCUUACCAUGGCGACGAUGGGUAGGGGUCCUGAGAGGGAGAUCCCCCACACUGGUACUGAGACACGGACCAGACUCCUACGGGAGGCAGCAGUGAGGAAUAUUGGUCAAUGGGCGCAAGCCUGAACCAGCCAUGCCGCGUGCAGGAUGAAGUCCUAUGGAUUGUAGACUGCUUUUGACAGGAAGAAACAGUUCUACGUGUAGAACCUUGACGUACUGUAAAGAAUAAGGAUCGGCUAACUCCG